rnacentral:lncRNA from 1 species
UCGGCUUCCUGAAAGAGAUUGUAAGUAUAGCGAUAUUAGCUUAAUUAUAUCAUUGUUAUAUUUACUGUCAAUAUAAUACGUCUUGUUUAAAUUUCUAUUUGCCUGCAUCUUCACAUAAAUACUGCAAAGAUUAUAUAUGUUAACUAUAACAAAAAAGUCUAUAAGAUUGCAUUAAAAAUGGAGAACUUAUGCGCUCUAUUGUAUACAAGGGGUUAUUUUCAGUAGCAUUUGUUUUCUAAACGGCAAUUAUUUCUUACCAAACUUUGAACGUCGGUUAUUUAAUGGCAUGUACAAUUCAUGAUACAUCGAGUUUCUCUGACAUUUAACAUGUUUAACUAAAGGGUAAUUUAAGGAAGGUGAUAAUGUUCUUAACCAUCAGGUGUCAAAAGGUAAUCUCGGCUGACGUAAGGGUUACAUUUUACCGUGAUUCGUAAAAAUGCAUUUAUUGUGAUUCCUUGGAUAUAUCAUAUACAUAUCAUUACCGUUAUUUUUAGGAAACAUUUAACGUGAUUAUAAAAAGGGUUUUGAAUUGGUGGUCUAGCAACUAGACUAUUUUCGUACAAACGAUUUUGUCUUCGUUUUUUUUUUUUUUAAUAUUUUCGAUAGGAGUCACCUCUACGGUAGUUCACUAUAGUACUCUGGCAUAUUAGAUCAAUCAAUUGGAUACAAAAGACGGAAAUAUGAAAAUAUUAUCAGUUGCAAUACAAGAUAAUAUAACAAAAUGAUAAACCCCUGUUUGGUAAUCAACAUCAGUUUAAAAAUAAGUGAACUGAAACAACUAUUUGAAGCUGGUAAAUACUGAGUUUGAAUGUUGGCCUCUUAGAUAAAUUCAACUGCUUCACCAUGGAAAAAUUUAGAAAAGUAUUAACUAUUUACACCUCCAUUUAAUUAAAUGUCCGUCAACGUAGACACCUUUCUAAAUUAGAAGUAAUAUGCACAGUGUAUACAUAUGGUGUUUGAGAUCUAGCUCAAUAUCUACAACAUUAUUUUAGAAAUUUGCAAUAUUUUUCUACAAUGAUCUAUUUGUCCAAUAUAUGUGAUCUGCAGUUUUUCAUGAUUUAUCUAAAAUGGAAAAAAAUAUGUAUUUUUUGCAUACCGUCUUUUGAAUGAAAAAAUGGAAAUCACAAAUGAUAAACUCCAAAGAAAACUAAAAAAAGAAAGUCCCUUAUGGCCACAUAAAAAAAUCAAAAAAAAAAUCUAACGAAUAGAUAACUGUACUACUUCGAACUUGGUGCAGGCAUUCUCUUAUUUAGAAAACUGUGGAUAAAACCUGGUUUUAAAUCUAGCUAAACUCUCACUUGUAUAAGAGUCGCAUUAAAUUCGAUUGUAUUGACAAUGAUGUGUGAACAAAUCAAACAGACAUAAUAGUGUCCUGAAAAUAGUCAAUUGCAAAAAACAUAAAGCACGGAAAACAUUCUCGUAUUUAACCCGACAAUUCGCCGUUUCAGAAUCUAAUGCAUCCUGGGUAAUAUUUUCAAAAGCAGUAAAACCUUAUAAACAAUGGAAAUUCAACCAAUGACGUAACGUUAUUUUCACUUUAGGGUACGAACAAUGAAAUUACCCAUGAUGCUUUAGAUUCUGAAACGGCCAAUUAACUAUAUGCUUAUUGACACAAUUCAAGGUGUUAUAACAUGUUUUUGUUUUAUCUAGAUGGCACAAAUGUAACGGGGUUAGAGUUUAUUUGGCCCUCUAUGAGUAAUUUUGGAAUAGGAGAAAAUAAUAAAGUCGUCCUGAGAUGUAAAGUACGCAGUGAUGCAGAACCUCAUUUCGAGGUAUGUCUUUUUAUAUUCUGUAAACCAUUAUUCGGAUGCAAAGAACGUUUAUAUUUUAAAAGUAUACCUUAAACCAUUUAAAAAAUGUGAUAUUGGAUCAGCUUUAAAAUUUCUAGUAUAUAAUUGGUUCACAACACGUCAAAUUAGGAAUCUAAUACCUUGUAGACAAUAAGGUAGAGGUAAAUCUUUAUAGUAUCUCUGACAUUUUUAAUUUCCUUUUUGUGCGACAAAAGAUCGACUUCACUUCUAGUACUAAUCAAAAAUACAAAUAUGUUUUUUAUUGGACUAAUCCAUUCCAAUUGAUAUUCUAAUAAGUGUCUUUCUAUGAUGUGAUGAUUCACUAUUGAUUCAGAUAAUGGAGAACGUUAAAUCCCGCUACAAUUGUUUGCAACUGUCCUAGGUCAGGAAUCAGAUGGUCAGUAGUAAUCGUUUGUAAUGUGAUUCAUAAGUGUUUCUGUGUUUUUUUAUAUAUAUAUGUAUUUGACUAUAUAAAAACGGAAAAACGAGAAACAUAAUAAACCACAGGUCUUGAUAUAAAAGGAUUCUAAAAUUAAAUAAACAUUUUCAACACCAUAAAAUACAUGUUCUUCUUCCGUUAACACCCAUAUACCACAAUCACUGAUAAUAAUCAUACUAAUAAAUAACAAAAAAUAGUAAAGUGCAAUACCACACGACAGAGCCGAGGGCUGGUUUAAUAACAACCAUUAAAUAUUUAUUGUAUACAAAUUUCGAAUCAGUACGAAAAGUCAUCAUUUAUAUAGAUAUAUAUACAACUCGUAUAAACAUCAACCAAAUUAUGUUAGAUCUGUAAAUUUGCUUCCGCAAAUUCUUGUUCUUCCCUCGCCGGGAUACGAACAUAUGCUACUGAGAUAUCGUGACAACAAAUCGCCUGCACUUUAGCCUUCCCGCUAGAUAUAUAUAUAUAUAUAUAUUAUAUGUACUUCAAUACAAACACACAUUUGUAAACAAUCGAUCUCUUAAUGCAUGAUACAAAAUAUCAAAUAGCAUGGAUGUAAAAAUUUACGUGACCUAUCGAGUAGACCCUGUCGUGCCGAAUGAUUUAACCGCCAAAUCACACAAACCACUUAACCUAAACGCCACCUAUAUGGGCAGACAAUUCAGAAGAAAAUAAUUUCAUUCUAAUUCAUAAAAUCAACCGACUGAAAUUAUAUUCACAGUAAAUAGAAAUAUUAAAAUACUAUUGUGACAAUAAUAUGUUGAAAGAAUAUGUGUCGCGUUUAGAGAUUUGUUGACUGUCAAUGAAACAUUGAGAUGCUUUGAUAUGAGUCGAGAGAUUUAAAAGCCUGAAUAUUGUUUGACUGGCAAUGAAAUGUUGAGAGGAUUUUGGAUGAAUUAGGAGAUUUAUUUGACUGCCAUUUAAACGUUGAGAGGCUUUGGUAUGUACAGAGAGAUGGUUCAAAUGGCAUUGAACUGUUCAGAGAAUUUUUAUGCGGUAAGAGAUUGUUAACUGCCAAUUGUGAAAUGUUGUGAUGAUUUGGAGUGCAUUGAGAGAAUGUUAUACUGCUAGGAAAUUUUGUGAGAAUGUCAAAUGCAUUUAGACGGGAGAUAAAUUAAAUUACAACGACAUAUUGAGAGAACUUGGUAUGUGUUGAGAGAUUAAUCGACUGGUAGUGAAAUGUUUGGAGGAAUCUUUAUGUUUUGAUAGAUUAUUUGCCUGAUAGUGAAACUUAACCUAUUUUAUCUUUAUUUUGUCGGUUAGUGGGUGAGGAUAGACAGUUCAACGUCUGCACACUCAAAAAUAUAUCACACUAAUGACGGACGAUAUUCUAUCUACUUAAAACAACAACCCGGGCAUCGAUACAGCAGCAAACUUGUAAUACAAAACGCACAUGCAUCGGAGUCUGGAAUUUACAAGUGCCGCGUUAAUGUAAGAUGGUCUGCUGUCAUAGAAAGACAUUAUAGAGUCCAUGUUCAAG